UUCCUACUGUAGUUAUCCCGGCUUCGGUUUUCAUAUACAGUAUAAUAUCAAAUUUUCUGUACCUUCCUUAAUGUAAGUAUUAGAAAAUGGAGAACCUAUAUUAAGAUACACUAUUAUGUGCGCAUGCGUAAGAAGCUUAUAACGAGCCGCGAACUCCGGUUCGAUCCGGUUUUAAACGGAUAAAAUCCGAAGAACGCUUAACAAUUAAAAAAAGCAUUAGAAGUUUUUAAAUUAUCUUCCAAAAAGACAAAAAACAAUGUUAAAUGACAACAUCUACAGUAUUAAGAACGGUUUAAAAAAAAAAAACUAUAUAUAGAUGAAAAGCAAAGUUUUGGUAAUUGCUACAUUACCUAGCCAUAAACUAAUACCUAAAUUAGUUGAAUUGUGUAGCCGUUAAAGAAGUGUUUUAACUACAGACAAAGCUGUUAUAUUAUUAAAACCAUUUGAAGCAGAGCCAAUUGUCGUAUGAAGACGUCUCACAAGAUGCUUUUAGAUGUAAACGUUUACCAGUGGAAAACCAGUAGAUGGCAGAAGCGUUACUUAAAACUUCAAAUACCAGCUGUCUUUGAAUUCUUAAGGAAACUGAGUCACGGCUCUUGGCUCUCAGCUUAUUGACCUGGGACUCAGCAAUGUCAGCACGCUCUUCAGCCUCUUCCAGUUC